GCUGGGCACGGUAGCAUGCACCUGUAGUCCCAGAUGCUCAGGAAGCCGAGGCAGGCACAUCAUUUUGAGUCCAGGAGUUCUGGGCUAUAGUGCGCCAUGCCAAUCUGGUGUCCACACUAACUUAGGGAUCAAUGUGGGGAUUUCCCAGGAGCAAGGGACAAACAGGUUGCCUAAGAAGUGAACUGGUCCAGGUCAGAAACGGAGCACGUCAAAAUUCUCGCCCUGAUGAGUCAUAGGAUUGUACCCGUAAUAGUCACUGCACUCCAGCCUGGGCAACACAGCAAGAUCCCCAUCUCU
rnacentral:SRP_RNA from 1 species